rnacentral:rRNA from 1 species
UCGUACGCUUCUUUUUCCACCGGAGCUUGCUCCACCGGAAAAAGAAGAGUGGCGAACGGGUGAGUAACACGUGGGUAACCUGCCCAUCAGAAGGGGAUAACACUUGGAAACAGGUGCUAAUACCGUAUAACAAUCGAAACCGCAUGGUUUUGAUUUGAAAGGCGCUUUCGGGUGUCGCUGAUGGAUGGACCCGCGGUGCAUUAGCUAGUUGGUGAGGUAACGGCUCACCAAGGCCACGAUGCAUAGCCGACCUGAGAGGGUGAUCGGCCACAUUGGGACUGAGACACGGCCCAAACUCCUACGGGAGGCAGCAGUAGGGAAUCUUCGGCAAUGGACGAAAGUCUGACCGAGCAACGCCGCGUGAGUGAAGAAGGUUUUCGGAUCGUAAAACUCUGUUGUUAGAGAAGAACAAGGAUGAGAGUAACUGUUCAUCCCUUGACGGUAUCUAACCAGAAAGCCACGGCUAACUACGUGCCAGCAGCCGCGGUAAUACGUAGGUGGCAAGCGUUGUCCGGAUUUAUUGGGCGUAAAGCGAGCGCAGGCGGUUUCUUAAGUCUGAUGUGAAAGCCCCCGGCUCAACCGGGGAGGGUCAUUGGAAACUGGGAGACUUGAGUGCAGAAGAGGAGAGUGGAAUUCCAUGUGUAGCGGUGAAAUGCGUAGAUAUAUGGAGGAACACCAGU